UCGACUGGCGGCAGGCCUAACACAUGCAAGUCGAGCGGCAGCACGGGUACUUGUACCUGGUGGCGAGCGGCGGACGGGUGAGUAAUGCCUAGGAAUCUGCCUGGUAGUGGGGGAUAACGCUCGGAAACGGACGCUAAUACCGCAUACGUCCUACGGGAGAAAGCAGGGGACCUUCGGGCCUUGCGCUAUCAGAUGAGCCUAGGUCGGAUUAGCUAGUUGGUGAGGUAAUGGCUCACCAAGGCGACGAUCCGUAACUGGUCUGAGAGGAUGAUCAGUCACACUGGAACUGAGACACGGUCCAGACUCCUACGGGAGGCAGCAGUGGGGAAUAUUGGACAAUGGGCGAAAGCCUGAUCCAGCCAUGCCGCGUGUGUGAAGAAGGUUUCGGAUUGUAAAGCACUUUAAGUUGGGAGGAAGGGCAGUUACCUAAUACGUAUCUGUUUUGACGUUACCGACAGAAUAAGCACCGGCUAACUCUGUGCCAGCAGCCGCGGUAAUACAGAGGGUGCAAGCGUUAAUCGGAAUUACUGGGCGUAAAGCGCGCGUAGGUGGUUUGUUAAGUUGAAUGUGAAAUCCCCGGGCUCAACCUGGGAACUGCAUCCAAAACUGGCAAGCUAGAGUAUGGUAGAGGGUGGUGGAAUUUCCUGUGUAGCGGUGAAAUGCGUAGAUAUAGGAAGGAACACCAGUGGCGAAGGCGACCACCUGGACUGAUACUGACACUGAGGUGCGAAAGCGUGGGGAGCAAACAGGAUUAGAUACCC
rnacentral:rRNA from 1 species